rfam:Prunus persica cultivar Lovell chromosome G1, whole genome shotgun sequence.
AAACCAUGAUGUGGACAAAGACUCACAAGUUCUUUAAAUCGUUCCCAUGUUUGAUACAAUGUUUCACUUUCUUUUUAAGCAAAAUUUGAGAUUCUUUUCGUCAAAGC